CAGACCUCUAAUCGGAAAAGACUACCCGCUGAGUUUAAGCAUAUCAAUAAGCGGGAGGA
rnacentral:rRNA from 1 species